GCCUCCGGCCGCCUGUGACAGGGGAGCGGGGGUCAGUCGCGCCAGCAGGGGUGGGGCUUCCUGUCGGAGCAGACAGGAGGCCGGGAGGGGAGAAGACAGGCCGAGUUCUCACCGAGAGAAAAGCCGCAGGCCUGGCGCCGGCUCCUGCAGGUUCUGAGAACCCUCAGGGAGACUCCGGGGGCGUCACACGGCUCCGGCUACGGGGCCACCCCCACACGCAUGGGGCUGGCGGGUGGCGCCCGGCGCCCAUUGGCCAGAGCCCCAUCCACGCGGCGGGGGAGAGCGGCGCAGGUUCCCGGGCAGGGACGCGGCCUGCCAGCACCCAGCGCUCAAAACCAGCCCAUCAGUUCUGGAGAAAGGGCCAGAGCCUCCCUCGCCCCCACCCACCCCGAGCUCCGUCAACCCCAGGAGAGGGACGUGUCUUCACGGAGCUGGAAUGACUCCUCUGAGAUUCCUAUAGCAAGAAAACGCCCCGUGAGCCCCUUCUAUCGACGAGAGAGAGAAGCAGGAAGACAGCUGGAACAGGACAUACCUCUUCGGGCCUGGAAGGCCACUGUCCCCAGCAGGGCACACUUGGGCCCCAGGGACGGCAGAUGAUCAGGGACAAAACUGCCCACUGAUUCCUACUCCGCCAGAGGUCAGCAAGCAGGUACCCAGUUCUGGGGUGACGCACCAGUAAAGACACAGCUCCCACCCAAGUGCCAGGCAGAGCCAGAGGGACACCCAGAGGGCCCAGCAGCGAGAUCGGCACCCACCCCAGCGAGGCCGGGCUGGUCGGCGGGUGUGCACAGCGCGCCUCCAGCUCCAGCUCCAAAACCGGCACCGGCACGGGCACCGGGACCAGCACGAGCACCUCCCAUGCACAGAUGCCACAGGACCGUCUGAACACAGAGCAGCGCUGACAAGGCCACGCCCUGCAGACACGCGGCCUCCGAUACACAGCUCACACGGGGGGGACAAGAGCCGGCCCGGGGGGCUGUCCGGCAGGAGACGUCAAUCUAAGUCAGUGGGAAUAAAGUCACCGUCCCCACCCAGGUCCACAGAGCCCAAAUUUUACUCAGAGGCACUUGAGGGGUGUGUGGACCUUGGACUGAGGAUCUGAAUGUGACUAUCGGGACCGCCUGUCCUACCUGGAGCUGCCCAUGUUCCCAGAACCAGAAGCACAGUGCCCGCUGGGUACCGGCCCCACCAGGGGCACGGAUGUCCAGGAGCGUGUGUUCAGGGGUAAGUGGCGGCUGCAGCACCUGCCCUCUGCACCGGCUCCCACAGCUGAGGGACCGCUCAAGGCCAGUGGGGCCAGGUCUAAGGCUCCCCCCCCCGCCUUGUCUGAGAUGCCUCCCCAGCCCCCACCCCCUCUCUCCGUGCCGUGUCUAGGCACCCUUGGCACGCGUCACAGCGCCAGGCCUUCCCACCGUGGAGGUGUGCACUCAGAGCUCACGAGAGCACUGGAUGACACAUUCAGCUGGACAGGGUGCGUGGCACCCCUCCCCACCGCGCAGCCGGGGACUGUCUGGUUUGUGUUCUGGCUGGCCGUGUACCCCAAGGACAGGAACACAUGCCGCCCUGGGCGCCACACGGUGGAGCUGACAUCAACUGCCACCCGGGUCCCCUCUGGCCCAACAGUGCCAGGUGCUGGCUGGGAGCAUCGUCACCGUGGCCGGCCAUUGUGCAGAGAUGUCCGUGGGCCCAGAGCUCCGGAUCCCCACCGAAGGCGUCCCGACAGAGGAAACGACUCUCGGGUUCCCGAACGCACAGCAGCAGGGCCAGGCCCCGGUGGCUGGGACAGAGCCAGGGACCCACGAGGGCUCGGCGGCAGCGAUCGGCUUCACCCAGCAGCACCAGGCAAGGGGCAGGCACAGCCUGACCCGGUAAGGCUGCGGAGCUGAGCCACAGGAGCCACAGGAGCCACAGUGGCCAAAAAGCCCUCUCUGGUGGCGUGUGCGUAGGAAGUGACGGCCAGCGCUCCACUGACACAUCUGGUCUGACAUUGACACCCUUUGCUGCCUCGGGUGCAGAAUUCUGGUCACUUCCCCAGGGAUCAGGAAAGAGAAUGUCGAAGUCACAGGUGGGACGAGGGGCAGAAUCCCCAACCUCCCAAGACCCCAGCUCACUGUGGGCGGGACCCCACAGGGCCCAAAAGGACCGAGGACCGAUGUCCAGACCCAGGCGAGGCUCCCCAGGGCCCAGGAGGUGAGCCCCUUCCUGGCGUCAUGGCGGUGGGAGAACUCACCAGACCCCAUAACGACACGGAGCCUCAGACCACGCGCGUCCUCCUGGACGCACGGUGUUCCGCCGCCUGCCGGAACCACGGCCAGGCCACGUGCCAUCGGCACCUUGGCAGGAGCAGCUGUAAAGAAGGGCUGCCCGUGGUCUACACGUCCUGCAGCCUUUCAGUGGCCAAACCCCCACGGCCUCCACACCUGUGCUCCAGCGGAGCCCAGCCCCACGGAGAGUCGCCACGCAGGAGUGUACGGGCAGACCCCGCCGCCUCGACCGCCAGGGUGCUCCCAAGGCAGGGACGGUCACUGUGGGCGGUGCCCCGCUGCAGGGCCUCAGCCUGGUGCUCCCGACACUGUGGUCGUCCACCCUGCCUGUUACGCCUAAUUAUUAAUUAGAAGCCGAACAACAGGUCGUAGCCCUGUCGCUCUCACCGCCAAUCGGUGCGACGGUCCCUGCUUUGAGCCUUCGGACACGGGGCUCUGAGCCAACCUCUGCAGAGAGGGCUCACACACCCCGAUCAAAACGAAACUGGCAGACAGAGGUGUGCGCCCACCCAGUGGCCCCCGAGGGGCCCUGCCGUCCCAGCGCCGAGCAGCCGGCACCUCUCUCGGCCUGGUUUGGCCACACCAGGGAAGGUCAUGGUCGUCGGGCUCACGGAUGAAGUUCUCGCGGUGCCUGAGGCAGAGGGCGCCGCUGAAGGCCGUGGCACGGGCAGAGGGGCUGGCCUCCACCACUCUGGGCGAUCUUCGGUCUUCAAAGAGCAAGCAAUUACUCUAAGGUCUGGGGCAGCUACCUGCUGGCAGGGCACACAAGGAGGAGGUGACGGUGCUAGAGGAGGCCACUCUGUCCGUCACCGCACAGAAAAUGAGGGCUGAGGGGCCUGGGGCUCCAGGGGACCCUGCGUCGCCCCCGGGAGCCCUGAAGGCCACAGUCACGUUGUCAGCAGUGGGUUUUGCACGAGAAGCAGCAUGCGAACCUGGGGCGGGGGGGGGGGGGGGGGAGGGGGGGGCUGUGGAGCAGGGGCCUCAGACACGGAGCUUCCUGACUCCACAUGCCCCCAGGGAGGGAGGGCUGGCUCGCUGCUGCCCCUGAGCAGGACCCUCACACUAAGGCCCACGGCGCCAGCAGCCUCCACAGGGAGAUGGCAGAGGGUCCCCAGACAACGCCUAGACACCAAGGAGGCUGCAGCCAGACGGUGGAAAAGGCGGCCUGGAGGCCUGGAGGACCUGGUCCUCUAGACCUUCCCGUUUAUUUACCAGCACACAAAGAGAGGCCUAGAGGACCAGAACCGGCACAAAUCCACCGCUGAGACCCCCGGCCUGGGCCUCAGGCAGCCUGACCCUCAGGCGACUGCGCAGACCUCGAACAGGCCUCACUGGUAAAGAGGCACAGUUGAGACUCAAAUGACAGAACGUGGAGAACACCAGACCAGCACCCGGCAAAGCGGCUGCAAGGCCAACAGACGUCACUUCCGCCCAGGCCACCACCACGGACGGCCACAUCAGACACGCCACGUCUCGGCCCGGGAGCGAGGGCGAUGCCUGACCCCAGGAGGGUGUGGAGAAGCACCCGGAGUCCCCACCGGAGCCGCCACCAGAGCCACUCGGCAGAGCAAAGCGUCGUCCUGCACGGCGACCCUCAACUUGUUAAAAGGACAGCGCCAACCCCGGCGUCCACCCCCCCCCCCGCAGGGCCCCGUGUCUGCACGAAGCCAGGGUUUGCUGCCGAGGCCCCGCGAGCGGCACAGUGUGUGCGCGGCCGAGAUCCCUUCAGGAAAGCAGCCGGGCGUCGGGCAGGCCGUCGGCCUCUCGACGGAGCCAGCUUCCGUUCUGCACAACCGGACGGCAGAGUGGGCACCCGUGCCAAGAGACUAACCUGAGGGGCUCGUCCCAACUCCCUCCGGGCAGCGGGACCCCCACAGGAAGUUCACAGAGCCGGGUGUCCGUGCUGUAGUGCAGGACACUCCUGCCCGCGCCCCCUCCGGCCUUCCAAGGGCCCACGACGCAGCCUCGGGUCUGACCCGCGAGCAGCUGCCCACACACGGCCUCGAGCCACGGUCGCUGGAGCGGUCAAGUCGGUCCGGACUGUCCCGCACCGAAGGCCGGGGCGGCCGUGCCAGGAGGCGGGCGGAGUCUCCUCAGACACCCAAGGCUGUUCUGCUUCCAGCGGAAGGGUCUCUGGGAGGUGCCGACAGCGCCAACGUGUCCCGCGGAGGCUGAGGCCCGGGGGCGAGGUCACUGGCCGCCCGUUCGCGCGGCCGAUCUCGUCCGGGAGGCCGGGAUGACAGGCCGCAGGGGCGCACCCCCCGGAGGCCGCGCUACCCAGUGGUGGCAUCACCCACACGCUCAUGUUCUAGAAAUGGAAAGAAUGGCCACCAGGAGAGCCACGUCCUGCGUGGACGCUCCCGAGGGCCACCGGUCACGGGCAAAAGAGGCCGAGUGCGGCGCGAGACCCCGCUUCCGGGCCGGCUUCUUUCAGAACCUUUCUGUAGCGCCGCCACCAUUAUUGGCUUAUGUGACUUCCUAUGUGGCUGCGAAGUGCCUCCCGGAAAGGGCGCGACCCCAGCCUCGUGUCUGCUUCUCAAACGUGCGCUGCGCUCUCCAAGUGGAGACAGCCCACGCCGCUGGCCCAGCACCCCUGUGGGGAGGCCCCUUCAGGUUCUCGUGCCCAAGACUGCUUCUGUGCGGCUUCUCUACAAAGAACUGCCUCCUUGCACCAGCUCGGAGAAAACUCCGGGACUUCGAGGUCUACAGGGAAGGGGGGGUGGCCCGCGGACGCCCGCAAGGGUUUCUGGCAGAGCUGGGGACGCGGCCACAGCCCCAGCCUCCCCGACAGCCCACCCGCUCAGGUGACACCGAAGCACGAGGACAAGAUAAAAUAGGAAAGCGGAAAUUCAUCAAGGUCAAGACCUCUCUGGGCUUCAAAGGAUGCCACCAAGAACGUGGAAAGACCACCACAGAAAGGGAGGAAAAGACGUGCCAAUCAGGUACCUGAUAAGGGACCGGGAUCGGAAUUCACGAAGAACCAAAACUCAGCCAAGUACCUCACUACGAAGGAGGCAAAGGACGGGACCAGACCUCCCGCCAAACGAGACCCACAACGAGCACGCGAAGAGGGUCGGCACCACGGCCAUCAGGGAAACGCAAAUGAAAGCCGCACACGCUGCCGCUGAGGGAGGGGGGGGGGCCUGGAGCGUGGCGGGCACGGCCGCCGAGGGAGGUGGGCGCCCACAGACGUGACCCGGGGGCCGCGCUCCUCAGUGAAGCCCCGAGAGAACCGCGAAGACGGGCCCAACGGCCAUCCGAGUGACUGACCGUCCACGCCGUCGAAAAUGUGCGUGUACCCGCGAGUCCCCACGACUGAACGACCAGGCCUCACCGUUCACACGAACACGGGUCCACACGUAUCUCGUAUAUUCCGUGUAUCGCACGCUGCGUCUUAUGAUAAGGUAGACUACGGGAAACAGCGCUACUAAGAAAAUCAAAAGGAGGAAGAAAAGCAUUUGCGGGUCUGUAUCUGUCGACACCGAUACCGUAGUCCCGUGGACUGUUUACAAGACGAACCGUCCCUCGGGACCUACAUCGAUGUUGUCUUCCGUGACGGGAGACACUGCAGAUGUUACACGCGUGACGAGCACUGACACCAAAGAUGAAAAGGUGGCGUGGAAAAAAAAUUCGUAUGUAUUUACAAGCACAACGAUGCACGCACUGAUUAUAAAGCAGACGGGACCGCUUUCUGGCAGCCUAGCCAGGGCACAAACGUAGGAAUCGUUACGAAGCUUUUUAUGGCAUCUAGGAUUACAGUCAUAUUCUUUUUUUUUUUAAGUGUACUUAUUUACUUUGAAAGAGAAAGCGAGCAAGGGAGGGGCAGACAGAGGGAUAGAGAAUCCCAAGCGGGCUCGGCACUAUCAGCACGGAGCCCGAUGAGGAGCUCGAACUCCCAAACCAUGAGGUCACAACCCAAGCCGAAGUCGAGAGUCCAACAACACUUGGGGCACCUGAGUGGCUCAGUCAGCUGAGUGUCCAACUUCGGCUCAGGUCAUGAUCCCACGGUUCGUGAGUCCGAGCCCCACGUCAGGCUGACUGCAGUCAGCACAGAGCUGGCUUCGGAUCCUCUGUCCUUCUCUCUCUCUGUCCCUCCCCUGCUCACGUGCUCUCUCCCAAAAAUAAAAUGAGAUAAUUAAAAAAAAAAAAAAAAAAAAAAAAGGAGUUGGACACUUAACUGACUGAGCCACCCAGCGCCCCCAGUCAUAGUCUUACUAUAGAAUUGGAAACGCUGUUCCAUUUUUAAGACCGUUUACCAGUGAUGACAGGACAGUGUGCAGUCUCUCCAAUUAGGAGAAAGGGGACAACUACACUAAUUCUCUGAAAGCAAAGUUACAAGACAGUAAGCCAACUAACACAUGACUGGUCUUGUAUUAAGUACCACUCCGCUCAUGCCUGUGUAAGGAGAGGCUGUGAAUGGCACCAUGGAGGGACUAUGUCGUGUGCACACAUUUUGACAAAUGUUAACUUUUUAUAAGCUUGUGAGUUUUAUUGCAAAAAUGAUAAAAUAGACCAACACCUAAAUGUAUCGUAUGCAUUCACAACAUACCUAACUUUUUAAUUUUUUCCGUAUCUCCAGGCUACAUGGCUCAUCCACAAGUUUUCCAAACUGUCGCUCAUCUCCAAAAAUUUUUCCAACGUGGUUCUUGAGUAAAAACCUGCACGUAAGUGGACCCGCACGGUUCAAGCCCGUGUUGUUCAAGGGUCAGCCGUACUAGGAUUCUGCAAGGUGUUACCGAUGGAGCAGUCUAGAUGAAGUAUACAAGAGAACGUCUCUGUUAUUCCUUAUGGUCGCGUCCAUCUACGAUUAUCUCAAAAAAAAAGAUGAUUAAAAAUAUACAAGGUGUGGAGUGCCCGGUGGCUCAGUCGAUCAAGCGUCUGACUCGUGGUUUCGGCUCAGGUCAUGAUCACGGCUCGAGGGAUCGAGCCGCACGUCGGGCUCCGCGCUGAUAGUGCGGAGCCCGCUUGGGAUUCUCUCUCUCCCUCUCUACAUAAAUAAACAUUAAAACAAUUAUUUUAAAUAAAAACAAAAAAAGCAAGCCGCCGCGUGACACUAGGAUGGCGACACUUUUUUAAAAGAGGGCCAGGACAAAGCGCUGGGGACGCGGUGAGAGAUCCGGGCCUCCGUGCACCGCUGGCGGGAAGGUGAAGGGCUGUGGCCGCUGCGGGGCAGUUAGGUGGUUUCUCACAAGGUUAAAUAAUUAGCCUAUGACCCGGCAAGCCCGGUCCUGGGCGUCCACUCAAGAUUACUGAAAACGUACGUCCAACACGAACACUUGCACACGAGUGUUCACACAGCAUGAUGCGCCGCAGCCGGCACGGAGACAUCCCACGAGCCCUCCCCCCAGAGGAGCGGACCAGCAGGUGCACGGCCCGGACCCGCGCUCCGCCUCAGAAGGAGCGAAGCCUGGACGCGCACGAUGCUCAGGGAGAAGUCCACACAGAGGGCCCCACGCCUGCUGUGUGACUCUGUUUCAAUGAAACGCCCAGAAGAGGCGAAUCCACAGCCAGGAAGCGGAGUGGUUGCUGGGUGUGGGGGGAGGGGAGUGAGGGCGCCGGAGUUUCUUUCUGCGGUGACGAGAAUACUCUAGAAGGUGAUAAUAGCGAUGGUCGCAUAUACUAAAAACCACCGAACCGUACUCUGACAAAAGGUGCGAUUUCUGUUACAUGAACUAUAUCUCAAUAAAACUAUUAAGAAAUUCAAAAAAAAAAAAAAAAAAAAAAAAGUGAAAUGAACUGUUGGCUGAAAACCCAAAC